CAGCUCAUCUGAGGUGUUAUCAGGUGGCUGUCACAGUGUAUGAAGAACCAGCGGAGCUGCAUCCUUGAUGGUGAGAUGAGUCGGGGCAAGACCUGCCAGCAAGUGUCCAUCUGCCUCGGAUUGGUCACUCCACUAAAGGCUUCAACUGGUAUGGUACAGAGAGACUUAUUCACAAGCACCUGGCUACCAAAGGCAUCAUCACAUUUAUAUAAUAUUAUAUCCACAUCACACCCUUCUACAGUUUCUUCCCCAACAUGCACAACUACUCCAUCAACUUCACACUCAGCCUCAGACCCAGCAGCAUCCUUGCCAUCUGGGUCCCUAAACUUCUCCGGUCCUCUUGGUAACAGUGAAGACCUUACAAAGUCACCAGAACUCUCCACUAUGUCAUAUCAAGGUCAGGGCGCACCAGGAAAGGCUGACUUCAUGAGAGGUCUUCAUGUAUAUUUCUAUAUUAUCACCUUAUCACAUUUCCUUUCACAUUCCAUCUUUGCCAACAAAGACAACAAACCAAUAUACUACAACAUGUAUGUUUUUAUCACAGUUAUUGAUAAGAAAGCAUGUUGAUGUUGACAUGAGCUAAUAGUUUUAUUCUUAAACGUUACUGCACAUAUGAUGGUGAUGAGGGGGCCCUCAUGAACUUACACGACACUCAUAUCGUAGGAAAGGGGGAAAGUCCUGUCCAUGCAUAGGUAGUACAAUCAAAGCUAACUUUUUAAAAAGAUUUUAAUUUGCCUAAUACUAAUAUUUAUUAAUAUCACUAUUAUGCCUAGAUUUAGUAACAGCAAUAUGCCGUGCAUUAUUAGUCCCUUUUAGGAACUGCGAGAUCUAUUGCAUCAUUCCCUCAGACCCUACUUGUAAAGAAUAAGAGUCUUGCUUUGCUAACCCAAGGAAAGUCAGUGUGUCUAAAUAUGUAAUUAGGUUAGACUGACAAAGCUCCUCCUACAUUCCUCAGAAGUGACUGAUCAAAUCAGUUUGCCUUAUUCACACUCACAUUUUGUAUCUAUUUAGGGUUUGAAAUAAUCUGGUCUGUCCCUGUAUUUACCGCUAAAUGACUGUAAGAGCUUUGUCAUACUGUGGAUCAAAUAAUGAAGCAGGGAUGGUUUCACACUCUGGAAAGAUUUUACAGUAAACUCUGAUGCAUUUACUUUCUUUAUGCACUUAUACAUGGUUAGAGUGAGUGCAUGACAAACUUUUUUCUACUAGAUUUAAUUGAUCAAAAAUUAUGUAAUGUUUUACUGAGAAAAAAACUGAGAUACAUUUAUUUUUACAAACUGUUAAAAAUCAGAACCACAGAUAAAGAUGUAAAAGCUGCUUAGUGUCGGAUCUCUGAUGUCAGUUUAACUCAGAAAUGCAUAGCACUAAAAACCAAACCGUGGAUGUCUAAUGUCAAAGUUAUCAGCUGUCCACGUUAACUUCUGUUUUUGUAAAGUCUCAUUGGCCAUAUUUUAAUGAUAAUAAAAAAUUAACCUCCUAAGAGCUAUGGUGAGUGAAGCAUUGAGUUGUUUAUCAUUGUUUUAAACCACAGUAAUAUAGUCCUAUUUUUUUUUUUUUUUUUUUUUUUUUUUGGUCCCAUGGUUUAUCAUUUUAUCAGAACUGCUGUAAAUUUGGUCCUUACUAUUUAAAGACCCAAUAUGACUCAAAAAUGUUCCCAGGUGUUCUUGUGCUGCAAUUUACCUGUAUUUAUUGUGUGAAAUAUCUGCAUGUGUUUAAUGUUGUUUUUAUUGUUCAGAUAUUAUUGUUGUCAGUAAUAGUAACUAAUAUACAGAGCUGGGCUAGUUACACAAAUAAUAUUAAAUUACUCAUUACUAGUUACAAAAGUAAUAUUGUUGCUUAUUACUUUCUGGUAACAGUAAUUAUUUACACCAUUAUUUACAUUACUUUUUCUCCACACCCCACAGAAGUUGUAACUGUGUAUCUUCCACAUAAAAUUCUUCUAGAAUGUUAAAAACAACAUAUUGCUGCCUCAUUAUUGACCAAAAUCCACAUUUGAUCACAGUAAGAAAUUAUUGCAAACACUCAAUAGUGAUUGAUAGUGAUGUUCAAGUAGAAGUGUUAUUCUCUUUACAUAUUAACCUGUUAACUGUCACUCAUGUUUUUG
ensembl:lncRNA